rnacentral:rRNA from 1 species
UACGGAGGAUGCAAGCGUUAUCCGGAAUGAUUGGGCGUAAAGCGUCCGCAGGUGGCUGUGUAAGUCUGCUGUCAAAGAGCAAAGCUCAACUUUGUAAAGGCAGUGGAAACUACACGGCUAGAGUGCGUUCGGGGCAGAGGGAAUUCCUGGUGUAGCGGUGAAAUGCGUAGAGAUCAGGAAGAACACCGGUGGCGAAGGCGCCCUGCUAGGCCGCAACUGACACUGAGGGACGAAAGCUAGGGGAGCGAAUGGG